rnacentral:rRNA from 1 species
GACGAACGCUGGCGGCGUGCUUAACACAUGCAAGUCGAACGGAAAGGCCCUGCUUUUGUGGGGUGCUCGAGUGGCGAACGGGUGAGUAACACGUGAGUAACCUGCCCUUGACUUUGGGAUAACUUCAGGAAACUGGGGCUAAUACCGGAUAUGAGCUCCUGCUGCAUGGUGUGGGUUGGAAAGUUUCGGCGGUUGGGGAUGGACUCGCGGCUUAUCAGCUUGUUGGUGGGGUAGUGGCUUACCAAGGCUUUGACGGGUAGCCGGCCUGAGAGGGUGACCGGCCACAUUGGGACUGAGAUACGGACCAGACUGCUACGGGAGGCAGCAGUGGGGAAUAUUGCACAAUGGGCGGAAGCCUGAUGCAGCAACGCCGCGUGCGGGAUGACGGCCUUCGGGUUGUAAACCGAUUUCGCCUGUGACGAAGCGUGAGUGACGGUAAUGGGUAAAGAAGCACCGGCUAACUACGUG